rnacentral:lncRNA from 1 species
UCUCCGAUAUAUAUAAUCCUAAGACUCAAAAUAGUUUUCUUCUAGACUCAACAACAACCAACUACAAAUAAUCAAGGGGGCUCCUAUGGUCGGUCGAGGCUCUGAUACCAACUUGUCACGCCCAAUAUGCGACACUAUCCUAAAGAGACUCGGAGGUCCCACCAAGGAUAGAACCGCAUAUUGACACGCUUUUGCAAGGUGGAUAUCAUUACAUCGAUCCAUUACAUAAUAGAUGGGAUACAUACAAGGCAUACAAAUGCCGCAAGAAUACAUCAACAUCAUACAUGAGAACAUCCGGCUACGGAUGAAACACAAACAAAAGCUCAAACGACAUCCACCCUGCUAGCCUAGGUUGCCGACCAGGAACCAAACCCAAGAUCAACGAAGAAGAAGAAGGACUUAAAAUGUGCAAACAUCGCUCUUGCGUCAUGAACAUCGCAUUACCUAUACCUGCAACUGUUGGUGUAGUAAUCUGUGAGCCACGAGGACACAGCAAUCCAAUUACCAUGGUUAUCAAGACUAGCAAAGCUUAAUGGGUAUGGAAAGGGUAAGUGGUGAGGUUGCAGCAAGUGGCUAAGCAAUGUAUGGUGGCUAACAUACAAGUACAAGAAUAAGAUGAGAAACUACGCAAACGGUUGCCAACUAGUAAUGAUCAAGAAGUGAUCCUGAACUACUUAUGUUAAAACAUAACCCAACCGUGUUCUCCUCUCGAACUUCCCCGAAAAGAGACAAUCACGGCUACGCAACGCGGUUGGUGUGUUUUAGUUAAGUUUACUUCAAGUCCUCUACAACCGGUAUUAACAAAUUCCCAUCUGCCACAUAACCACGGGCACGGCUUUCGAAAGAUUAAACCCUGCAGGGGUGUCCCAACUUAGCCCAUGACAAGCUCACGAUCCGCGGAGACAAUCCUCCAUCGCGGGACCCUCCGAUCAGACUCGGAAUCCCGGUGAACAAGACAUUUCGCCAAUGGUAAAACUAAUCCAGCAAAGCCUCCCGGCGUGUCGACACCCUGAUAGUAGACGCGCGUAUCUAGUCUCAGGCUACAUCCAGAUGAGCGCAGCGUACAGCAACCGAGACCCGAGUUGCCCCGGGGGAAGCCGCACAUGACUCUAGUUUGGACCAGCACCAUCAGCACUGGCCCCCUGUAUGUAGAAAAGAAUCCUCGGGGACGCGACCCCCUAUGCUAAUUAAUUAAUUGUCAGGUUUAGUUAUUAUGUUGAGAAAAUGGUAAAACCAAUGUUGGGCCUUGCUGCAAGAGUUUUAUUCAAAGCGAACUGUCAAGAGGGGCCCAUAAACCCUCACUGUGUUAGGGACACAAAAUCAAGGAACAUAACACCGGUAUGACGGAAACUAGGGUGGCAAGUGAGGAACAAAACACCAGGCAAAAGACCGAGCCUUCCACCCUUUACCAAGUAUAUAUGUGCAUUAAUUAAAUAAGAGAUAUUGUGAUAUCCCAUGAUAUCCAUGAUAUCCAUGUCCCAACAUGGAACAACCUACAACUGCACCUGCAACUCGCAACGCUAUAAGAGGGGCUGAGCAAAGCGGUAACAUAGCCAAACAACGGUUUGCUAGGAAGGGUGAAAAGGUUAGAGGCUAUCAUGGCAAUUUGGGACGCUUGAUAAACAAGUGGUAGGUAGCGCGACAUAGCGGUAGCAUCGAGACAACUAGCAUAGCAAAGAUAGUAGUGAGAUCCAAGGUGACGGUCAUCUUGCCUGAAAUCCCGCUAGGAAGAAGAACGAGUCCAUGAAGAAGAUGGAGCCACGUAGACGAACGAAUCCUCACAAACGCAAUAAAACAUGAACAAUCAAGAGGAGCACAACCGGAAAGAAGCAAACACCAUGGUAAACAAACAAGCAUAAACAUGGCAUGAUGCAUGUACGGUUUAAUGAGGCAUGGCAAGGCAAAGUGCAACAAACAAUACUACAAAUUAAGUGGAGCUCAAUAUGCAACGAGUUGCAUAUCGACGAAACCCCACAUUCCAAAUAUUUAGUUCGCUCUUGUUUAGCUACUCAUCAAUAAUAAAUGUUGUUAAACAUGGCAAGGGAUGAAACAUAAGUAAACUACAUAUUUAGGCAUUUUAAAUGAGGUCGGAAACCACAACGAUAAUUCCAGAAAUCCCCAUGUGCAUAUUUAGCAAUUUUUAGGCAAACAACAUUUUUGAACAUUUUAAAUGUUGUUAUCAUGAUGCGGAUGACACAUACAAGUUUUAUGCAAUUUUUAUGAAAAUGUUGACAUGAGCAUAUUAUGAAGCAAUUGUCACCGUGGUGGAAACAAAGUGUGCCACGGCAACGAAUCCGAAAAUGAUGCCUCGGCAACAUAUCGGUUCCGGUAGCUCAUGGAGAUACCGGUGCAAAAGGAAGUGUGGCGGGAGCGUGUCAUGCAAGGAUGGAGGGGUGAUCCCGGAUACUGGGUUCCCACAUGUCAAUGGCAUGGGCAACGAGGAACGAGCAAGCGGCGAUUCGGACAUGGUGCAAACAUGGGCAUCUCAUGCAACACAUCACAUGCAUUCGUUCACGGGCGGUCGUCUCGGGGUUAUACCUUCGAAGCGUGCAUUUGGGGUGGAACGAGUUCGUAGCGGAAGUAGACGUUCUCGGACCGGCCGUAGAGGAAAUAAUUGUUCACGAUCAGGAAGCAGUUUAGGACGACGGUAGUUAAACUUGCUGAUCCGAGGGGGUAUUUGGCAAUCUUGUUCUUGCGACGGUAGUUGGUCACGUUCGUUCGGAGAGGUACUUGACGCGUCACGGUGUAGUCGUACUUGGCGAAUCCAAAGUGCUCCUGGUCGGGAAGGGUGCACCGGCGGCAGCCCCUUGCAGAUGUUGUGCUCGCAGCAGAAGAUGCCGGGGAAGUCAACCCGGGGCUGGGCAUGGCCUGAAGCAGAAGAGGCCGCGACGUUCGAUGACAAGUGAAGCGACGCGUGGAUCUUUGAGGACAUGGUGAUUCAGACAUCCAUGGGAGGCAGCACGGUAGAGGCGCUCCAACAGAGGGGCUCGGCAGGGUGACGCGAUGCAAGGACUCCAGCGAACGGAGCGGAGGCAGAGGUGCGCAAUGGAGAAGGACGGCGGGGACAGGCGAGCUCGCGGCUGCCGGUGAGCUUGGCGAGGCCAAGGCGGCGAGGCGGCCAUGGAGGUGGGGCGUAGCACGGCAACAGGACGGCGGCGGCUGCAGCAGGAUGGAGGUGGAGGUGCAGGAAGGCCGGGCCGCGGGCAUCCAUGGCCUCGACGAGGGGGUCGGGCGCGAGGCUCCUGUGGUGGCGAUGGCUGCACGAGCUCGCGGACGGAGCUACACGCGCGAGCAGCCUAAGGAGGGCAUCGGCGCGGGAGGAGAAGUAGGGCGCAGGUGAGGCAACGGCGCCAUGGACGAAGGAAGCAGGAGCUCGGGCGCGAUGCAGGCGGCUGCGCAGACGACGCGGGGAUGGCCAGGUGAGAGGCGAGGCAGAGGAGGGGGUCCUGGUGGCCGGCGGCAGAGGAACGGGUGGCCGGAGGGGCGGCCGGUCGCCGGGCAGUGCCGCGCGAGUGAGAUCGAGAGUGAGGCUAGGGUUAUAGGGUUGGAGGGGCGGCUGGGCCAAAUUGGGCUGGUUGGCUGCUGAUGCAGGAGGCCCAAGUGGUCGGCUGGGCUGGGCUUCUCUCUUCCCCCUCUCUCUAAAGAAAAUAAAAACAAAGCAGAGAUAAGAAAGAAAAUAAAGGGAGGUUAGGGGAAGAAGUUGGACACGCGGAUAAUUUUCCCGGACUCACAAAAAUGCGCUUGAUCUAGGAAAUAUAGAAGUGGCAUGAUGGAAAGAUAUAAAUUCAAACUCCUUUGAAUUUAAUCCAAAUGGUUUGAACUAGGACGGGUUUGAGAAGUGUCCAAAAAUGUUGAGAUUUUCGGAGGAGCCUCAAUAAAACGAUAAAUGAAUAUGAGGACAAGUCGGAGACCAAGAAUUGAGAUAACUAAGGCAUUGGGAUUUAUUUGCAAGUGUGUUCCGGUUAAUUCCAAACAAAUGGAAUAUUUAUAAUAGCUCCGUAAUUAUUAGGAGGAUAUGUUAUGAAGAGAAAUCACCAUGUGAAUCCCUCGAUUUAAAUGGACCAAAAAUCCAUAUGACUUGUUUGUUUGAGUUGAAAAAAAUUAAUGAUAUGAUGACAUGAUGCAAUGCAACAAGCAAAGAUGAAUGCAACGAACAAAACAAAUCACACGAAGAAUCUCGGAAUCCAUGGAAGGCAUCUGGAGCCUAGUUUCUAAGCUGGGAUAAAUGAGGAAUAGGACUAUUAAAUAGAUCCAGUAGAAACAGAGCUUAGGAAAAAUGUUCAACCAAGCUGGAUUAACAAAGCACGAUUUUAGGAGUAGGCAGAAAUUUGAAUCAUCAAAUUUGGAUGUGAAAUGGCUGCUGUGGAUUUAUUUGAAAUCCGCUGGAAAAGAAAAAUAUGAAAGUACAAAGAUGUACCCUGGGCAAUAUAUAGCCGUCUGGCGUUACUGGGCCGAGCCCAGCUUCUCAGUUGUGAGGAAGAGUUGAUGACGUCGAAGGUGUAUUCGCCUGGUACUUCUUCCCCGUGCGAAGGCGGCCACAGCGGAGUGUGUCUCCACUUACAGACGGGUUAGCGGCGCUGGGACACUGACAGUGGGCCCGUCUGGCCCACUAGUCAGGUUUGACCAUUCCACGCGUGCGCCUCCUUCUCCGGCCAAACAGAGGUGGAGUUCCGGCGAGGUUUGCCGCCGAACGACGGCACCACUCGGAAAACCGAGGCCACGCACGAGCUCAGGGGGUCGAGGCGGUCCCUCCGAUGGUCACCAUGGCCCCUGGGGUGGACGGAGUCGCCGGCGGCGAGCUCACCCGAGGAGCUCCGGCGGAGACGAAUCGGGCGUUUCGCCUAUGGUGGCUCCCGGGAAAAAUCGAGUGCGGGGAUGGAUCAGUGGGUGUUCAAGGAGGUCGGUGGUGACAAAAUAUGUGAGGGGGACGCACUGGCUGCGUCGGAAUCGACUAGAACAAGGCGGCGGCCGAAGCUGCCGGAGAUGGGGGAGACGACCGUUCUAGGUCGCUCUAUUGCUUGGGGGCUAAUAGAGGGAGGAG